UGCUGCAUGGAUGAAUGUGCGGUAAGUACUGCCCGGUGCCCGCGUGGUUAACGGCGGCGUAAAGUUUUAAAGUAGCGAAAUUCCUAGCCCUUUAAUUGGGGGCCUGCAUGAAUGUGCUAACGCGGGAAGGACUGUCUCUUUUACGUGGUCUGAAAGGGAACUUCAAGUGAAGUUGCUUGGAUUUUUUUAAGGGACGAUAAGACCCCGGCAGUUUUACCUAAGGGAAAAUAGAUUUUUGUGAUGGAUUGGCUGGGGCAGCAGAAGAAUAGAAAAAAUUUCUUUCCCAAGGGGAUUUUAGAGCGGCGGCUAAGGAGCUAGUUACGGUUAAUUAAGGGAAAGAGUUACGCCGGGGGUAACAGGACGGUCCAAAAAUGGAGAACAUAUCGGUUUUUGGGUUCGUUACAUCGAUGUUGAAUCAGGGGUGCGCUUGGGUGCAGAAGCUCAGGUUAAAGGGUCUGUUCGACCUUUAGAGUCCU
rnacentral:rRNA from 1 species